CUCCCUCCCUCCAACCUGAGGAGGAACCCACUUGGAUUCCCAGAGCCCAGCCAAGCUUCCCAAAGCAGGCAGUCCUUUGCCAGGCUGCAGGAGCCAAGCCCGCCGCGGCGCAGGACUCUCUGCCUCCCUCCUGGGCUCAUUCCUCGGGAAACGGGGGUCAGGAAAGACCCCAAAAGAGCGGGCUUGGAGGCGAAACCCGCAAGAGGAAUCGGAAUAACUGGAACAGCAGCCCGCAAGGCAACAAGGAUGGGGCGCAGUUGUGCCGACCUUCCGAAGAUGGGGAAAAGGAGCCAAAGGGGCGACUGAUGCUGCUCCGGGGCUUUGCCAAUAGCGAGAGGAAGAGGAGGAGGAGGAGGAGGAAGAGGAGGAGGGAGGAAGAGCUCGGGCGAAGGAAGCCGAGCAGAGGCGCAGAGAGAGUGCCAAGGAUCGGCUGGGAGAGGAAGGAGAGGAAGGAGCACUGAAAAGCCGCCAAGGUGGGAAGAGAGGCGGACGCAGACCCAGCCAUGGUGCCUCUCCAGUUCGGGCGCUCCUAGCAAGGAUGAGAAAGGCGGCUGGGCUCGCUUUCCCCGAACCGGGAUCCACGCGAAGCUUCCCCGGGAUCCACGCGCAGGGUUGGCUCCGGAAGGCUGCCUCCUCCCGGGGUUAGAGGAUCCCUUUCUCUCCCUCUCCCUCUCUCUCUCCACUGGAUCGCCUCCAGCGCCUUCUCAUCCUUUUUGCACCGACUCUUCCUCCCUCUUCUGCUGCUCCAGCCGCUCCAGAAAAGUCCCAAGGCUUCCAGGACCAGCACUAGAAGCUGCCAGGCAAAGUCAUCCCUUCUUCGCUAAUCUAGUUAUGGAAGCAACCAUCUGCUGUCUGGGGUGGAUCAUGACUCCCUGCUGCCAUCCACUGCCAAUGGAUUUCUCCUCUGGAACGGUCUCCUCUUAUCAAAAUAAUUGCCGGGAUUCUCAUAUUUUGUUUCCUAUCCAAGCUGGGUUUCUUCAAAGGCAGAUCAAUAUGUUCCACCUGGCCAUUCACAAUGUUCACUAGCACAUCAGCUACUGCACAUCUAGAUUGAAACAAGAACGUAAUAACACCUCCCUGCAUUUCUAAAUAUUACUUCUAGAUGAUUCAGUCAGGAAUCUCAUUGGUCUCAGAUCUUUUGCUGUAUAGCUAUUUAUUUUCCAGUUUAAUAAUACAGUGUGGUUUUAAUGUUGGACUUAGGGCCCUUCCACACAACCAUAUAACUCAAAAUAUCAAGGCAGAUGAUCCACAAUAUCUGCUUUGAACUGGGUUAUCUGAGUCCACAUUGCCAUAUAAUUGUUGUAGUUCAGCCUUUGAUUGCGCCUCACUGGGGAUUCUGGGCCUGGGCCUGUUAGGCAGCCUGAUAAUGAUAAUGGGGAUUCUGGGCCUGCAGAUCACCAGGAGAAUCGGGAUUUUAAGCCUCUGUCCGAGGGAGGCCACAUUCCAGAAAGGAAGUUCCCUAGAGUGCAAGGUCAGAGACAGAACUGAUCUCAGAGGAGAAAAAUAUAAGUCCAGGUAGCUGGACUAAUGAGCAGCAGUUAGAUAGGAGAUUGAUGUUUCGUCAACAUAGUGCUUCUCAGGAGUACGAAGGUUUAGCCACUUAUCAGCCAAGAAGCUCUUAUCAGCUUUUGAAGGGAAACGGCAGGGCACAGUUUUCUGUCUAUAUUACAGACACCAGCAGAUCAUUCCCUCAGUCCAGGCAACAUUGGUGUUAGAGCACAGAACUUCUGCCAAGUCAAAUCCCCCAAGGGAUUUCUAGUUCCAGGUUUCCUUAUGUUCAUGUUUCAUGUUUCAAGUUUCUAAGGACUUUCCCUGUAUUGCAUGUUUUUGGAUGUAUCCUGCUUUUGUAUUCCUAGUUUUUGAUGCAUAUCACGUACUUUGAACUCUGAGGAUUAUUCCUGUUUUUUGGACAUUGAUUUUUACACUAUUUUGCUGAGUUGCUUUUUAUAUAUAUUUUUCAAUAAACUGCUUUGCUAUUUUACCUUGGACUGGAUUGUGUGUUAAGUACAGAGAUGUAUCCCAUCUCGGGGUGCAACAAUAAUCCAGUUCAAUGUGGAUUUUAUACUGCUGUGUGGAAGGGGUCAUAGAUUCCAAGUGAUGACCGAGACCCCGGCUUUCAAAUUAAUUUGAACCCGCAGCGGAGAGUUCCGCAGAUCCAUCACCAAAAGGAACGGAGCGGGACCGCAGCAGACUAUUAUUAAAAGAUCUUUUUUCCUUCACUUUCCCCUUCCCUGAACUAUGUAACAAAUCCCCCAAUAAAAGUAGCAUUUAUUUUAACAGUAACACUCUCUAUCUGGUUAUUUUGUGUCUUUCUCUGACUCCUUCCUUUGCAUGCAAUUUCUCCCUCUCUCUCUCUCACUAACCCGUCUGAUCUUUAAACCCUGGCGGAGGCUUCCCCGCCAUAGGUUAAUACAGCGGACGAUACAAAUUGGCUCAUAUCUUUAUCAAAAUUACCCCUAGCACGCUCUUCUUUUAGUCCUAAUCCUUUCUAAGGCUCCUGACUCAAGGACCACCAGCGGAACCAAAAUCGGUCCAGUUCUCGGCACCUCAUCAGCUGACUGUCAAACGGAACCGACUGCUCCUUUCAAGCCAGACUGCUCUCUUCCAGCCUUAUCCCGGACUUUCCUCUCUCCGCGACCCGCGGGAUGGUUUUAGGAGAUCCCUGGUCCCUUUCUGUGAACUGGGGAUGGGGGGAUCGCUCUCCCGCUGGGGAGACAUAGUUCUCCAAGGACCUUCGCCCUCUCUACAGCCUGCCAGGAGGGUGCCUGGACGGGCGCCCUCCACUUUUCAUUCAUACCUUCAUAAUUUUAUGAAGGAGAAGAACACUCUUCCCCAGACCUAUCCCUGGACUUAUGAAAUCUUAUACUUCCAAAGACUGCAACCCACAUGUGCCCCUUCCCCAUGCCAUCUCUAUGAAUUCCUUCCACCACAGAUGAACUCUUUUCCUCAUGUAUCCGUGAAUUUUCAUAUUCUAUGUACCUGGACACCCUCAUGAAUCACUGUUGUAUGAAUUUCUAAUCGUUGGGCUAACUUCAUGAAUUGUGAGAUCAUGCUGCUAAAACUCCACUUUUAUGAAUUUCCAUAUUGGGUUCCCCAGAUGUUGUGAACUUCGUUCUUAUCAAAUGUUUUCAAAUUGUUUAUAUCAUUCAUGAUUCCCCUUCAUGCAAUGUAACCCACCUCUAUGGAUUCUCCCUUACUUCCUUGAAAUCUAUCUAUCUGCCUAUAUGUAUUUGUACUCUUUGGGAUCCCCGGAAAAUAUGUAUUUUUCCCAGCUGGGUUUAUAUUCCAACUUUAUUUUAUUUUUCAUUUUAUUUCAUAUAAUUGCCAAGUCAUGAAAUCAGAUAGGGAAUAUUUCGAACUCAACUUGAACCCCAGGACCUGCCCCAUUUUCUAUGACCCAGGCUUACCUUCCCAAAAACAAAAGGUUAAUCUGCUGCCGCUUAACCUAAUCAGAUUCAGAUUGCAUGGACAAUAUAGGGCUUGAGUCGCCGAAUUCGGAGUAUUUUGACCUAAAGGUGAUUCGCCCUCAAGGCAAACAUUGUCAUAUCUCCUCCAAAGGAAAUCCAGGACACCUCAGGAAGGCGCCCUGCUGAGCCCAUCGCCACCCAUCCUUACUUCCACCUCUGACACCCCAAGGCAUAUCUGAAAUCCGUGUACGUGACAGGAACCCUUGAUUGCUGUCAUUAAUCCCUUUAGAAUUCGGCCGGGCAGGAAUUAAUCCGAUCCUUCCUGCUCAGUCACUUCAUUGUUUCAAUAACUCCCGCCUUCUCCUCUCUGAUUGGCCCGAGUGGGGACAAAAAGCAGCUCCCUAUUGGGCCAGCAGAGCAAGGCGGGAAACGAAAGCCCGCCUCGUUCAACACUCUAGCCUAUCCGCGAUCAGAUGGGCGGGGGAGCGGGGCGGGAAAUUCAAGGGGCUGUCAGACUGAAACAUUGUAUAAAUAUGGCUUUAUUUUGGUUAUAUGGUACCCUAGUAGAUUGAAUGAUCACUACUAGAGUCCUUUUCAGCUGAAUCGCUCAAUAAAGACUCCUUGGCGGAUUUUCCUUCAACUUUGGUGGACCUUCUUCAUUUCGGCUUCAGGUUGUAUUGCGGCUCAUAUUUUCCUAUCGGCUCCGCCAAGGUCCGUUCUCUCAGGACCGGAUCGGGACUCUCCUUAAGGGCCCGAUCCCCUAAAGGACCAGGGUUCAAAUCUCUCGACAACACAAGGACCAGGGUUCAAAUCUCUGCUCAGCCAUGUGAACUCACUGGGCUAUUCUGGGCAAGUCAAAAUCUCUCAAGGUGUAUCUAUAUUGUAGAAUUAAUGCAGUUUGACCCCACUUUAACUAUCCUGGUGCAAUGCUAUGGAAUUAUGUAGUUUUAUAAGACCUUUAAUCAUCUCUGCCAAAGAGUGUUGGUGCCUUUCCAAACUAAAAAAACCUGGAUUCUAUAGUAUAGAGCCAGAACAGCUAAAGUGGGAUCAAACUGCAUUAAUUGUACAGUCUCAACCUUGGGGAAGCCAAUGGCAAACCCACUCUGAACAAAUCUUGCCAAGAAAACCCUCUGAUAGGGUGGCCUUAGGGCCUCCAUAAGUCAGAAACAACAUGCAGGCACACAACCCAUACCUUAAUUCUUGGAAAUCCUCAAAGAAACAUAACUGCGGUACUAGUUUGGCAACUUUAGGCAUACAAGAUCUUUCUCCACCUUCCCUCAUGCUAUUUUAUGACCACCGAUGAUAGUUUCAAGUUUCUAGCCCUCAAGCAAGGGAGCCAAAGUUGUACAUAGUAGCCUGAAAGGCCAUCAUCAAAGUAUGUCUUAUAAUUCUUGUUAGCUGCCUAGAAGAAAGGUGAGAUAAAAAUAAAUAAACACAUCAAUAAAUAACUAUAAACGUUUUUCUCACAGUUGUCUUGGCAUCCCAGAUUUGGGGCCGCAGCACUCCUUCGCUUUCUGACUCCUGCAUCAUCUAGAAAAGCAGGAGGCCCCACGUGACUGGCGGAGGCCAACACAAGCUGCACUGUGCACACAGCCAGCUUCCUAUGCUCACUGCUUGACAUUUAAUUAGCUUUAAAUGAGAAGAGGCUGCCACAGGGCUAACUGGCGUUUUCGUUAACUCAAGCUCAUUUAUUAGGAAAUGUGCAAUUUUAAAAAUGCCAUCUCUCCGCUUUUUAUUGGCCUGGCUUGGACCACAGAUGGACCGCAAAUUCUGGAGGACCCUCCUGCUGCUCCAAAGAGACGGUAAAUCAACCUCUGCCGCUAAGCAGGAGCUGUCCUUUGAGAACCCUGUGUACUUGGCCUAAUGCAACCAGCUCCUCCGAAAGAAGUGCCCUGUAAUCUCUUUUGAGCAACUGUCCCCCAAACAGCUGGCCUGAAGCCAAGCUGUCUGGAUUUAGUCCUUUCUAUAGAGAUGGAAAUAUACUCCCUGUUACUCAAGACAGCCGUUAAGUCAUCAUGUUGGCACCUUUGCUAUCAGGGCUGUUAAUUCCCUUUUCAACAAAAUUACUUUUCUUUUUUUUAAAGCAAACCCAGAAAGGGAACUGGGCCAAAAGCUGAAAAUGGAAAUCUAAAAUGCAUUUUUCCUGCCUGGCUUUUUGAAAGCCAGAGGCUAAUUUUUCCAGGUGAGAACUGACAAAAGCUUGGCAAAGCUACCCUUUGGAUUACAGCUCCCAGAAUCCUCCCAGUCAGCAGGAGUACGCACAAACUGGGAGAGGCUGGGUAUAAUUGCACAAUAAAUCACGCACAUGUACUCUGGAGAUCAUUCACUCGCCAAUGUUUGAAGCCAAGCUGUGACAGAGACUGCGCAUUGGCAUGCUUCAAUGUAUGCACAUUGAAAAUUGCCUUCUGGAGCACAAGAUGAUACCAUAUAUUGUCAGGCUCUUCCAUAUAUUGUCAUGGUGAGCUCAGUGUGGACUAUGUCAUUCUUCCCCAAACGGAUACCCUCCAAAUGUUUUGGACUAUAUCAUGGCCCUGAUAGCAUGCUAGCAAUGUUUCGGCAUAAACCGUGUCAGAUCAUCAAUGGCUGAAAUGGGUGCAACUGCCCCAGGC
ensembl:lncRNA